rnacentral:misc_RNA from 1 species
UACAGAGGGUGCGAGCGUUAAUCGGAUUUACUGGGCGUAAAGCGCGCGUAGGCGGUUUGGUAAGUCGGAUGUGAAAGCCCAGGGCUUAACCUUGGAAUUGCAUUCGAUACUGCUGAACUAGAGUAUGGUAGAGGGAAGUGGAAUUUCCGGUGUAGCGGUGAAAUGCGUAGAUAUCGGAAGGAACACCAGUGGCGAAGGCGACUUCCUGGGCCAAUACUGACGCUGAGGUGCGAAAGCGUGGGGAGCAAACAGG